rnacentral:tRNA from 1 species
UGGCCUAAUGGAUAAGGCGUCUGACCUCUAAUCAGAAGAUUGUCGGUUCGAUCCCGGA